UGUAGCUCAUCCAUACCUUCUUGCUGAUAAUCGGGCAUUACCCUUUUUAUCUUUGGAGGAAAAUUAUAAUGGCUCAUUGAUCAACUAAAUACCCUCUGGUCCCAGUUUAUAUAUAUGUUCAUGGCUUUCCAUCAUCCACAUGUUGGGAAAAGCUAGAAGUAAAAUAUGGGUUUUGGCAUACUUCUUGGCCACUGCAGCUGUUCUUGUACCAGCUCCACUGAUAGAGUUCAGAUACUACACCAUACCAUUCUAUUUCCUGGUGCUUCACUGUGACAAUAGCGAUGAUCAAAGUUGGAUUCUCACAGGCAUACUGUAUAUUGCGGUCAAUAUCUUUUCAAUGGCCAUGUUUCUGUUUCGGCCUUUCCAUUGGGAUCAUGAGCCUGGAAUCCAAAGGUUUAUAUGGUGAUUCAAUUCAUUGAAAAAAAUAUUUGUGACAGCGAAACUACCUUUUUUUGUGAGGCUUUUACCUCCAGUUUUAUAAGAGUGGAAUUUUAAAUCUACUUAGUUAUCUUUUUGAGGGAUUUAAAUCUCCUUAGUUGAUAUGAUAACCCUUUUAACUACUUGAAGGAAAGUGUUAUUUUUUUC